rnacentral:rRNA from 1 species
UAAGGAAUAUUGCACAAUGGGCGCAAGCCUGAUGCAGCAACGCCGCGUGCCCGAGGACGGCCUUCGGGUUGUAAAGGGCUUUUCUGGCUGACGAGGAAGGACGGUAGGCCAGGAAUAAGCGUCGGCUAACUACGUGCCAGCAGCCGCGGUAAAACGUAGGACGCGAGCGUUAUCCGGAUUUACUGGGCGUAAAGCGCGGGCAGGCGGUGGUCCAAGUCGGACGUGAAAGCUCCCGGCUCAACUGGGAGAGGUCGUUCGAAACUGGGCCGCUAGAGGGCAGUAGAGGGGCGUGGAAUUCCGGGUGGAGUGGUGAAAUGCGUAGAGAUCCGGAGGAACACCAGAGGCGAAGGCGGCGCCCUGGGCUGCACCUGACGCUGAGCCGCGAAAGCUAGGGGAGCGAACGGG